rnacentral:rRNA from 1 species
UAAAUGAGACUGCCGGUGACAAACCGGAGGAAGGUGGGGAUGACGUCAAGUCCUCAUGGCCCUUAUGGGUAGGGCUACACACGUCAUACAAUGGCCGGUACAAAGGGCAGCCAACCCGCGAGGGGGAGCCAAUCCCGUAAAGCCGGUCGUAGUCCGGAUCGCAGUCUGCAACUCGACUGCGUGAAGUCGGAAUCGCUAGUAAUCGUGGAUCAGCAUGUCACGGUGAAUACGUUCCCGGGUCUU